AAAUUGAAGAUUGAUCAUGGCUCAGAUUGAACGCUGGCGGCAGGCCUAACACAUGGGAGAGGGCACAAUCAAGAAUCUACGGAAACGCAGUUAUCUGACCUAUUGUCACGUAAGCAAAUAAAAGCGUCGGAGCGGCGAGCGGUUGAGUAAUGGCCUGGAAAUUGGCCUUGAGGUUAGUUGAUAACCCUUUGGAAAACAGUGGCUAAUACCGCGAUGAUAUCGCUAUGGGCCUAAAAGAAGGGGACCCUUCGAGGCCUCUCGCGUCCAAGGAUAUGCCAGGUGUGUUCAGCGUCGUUGGUGAAUGUAUUGGUGCUCACCAAGGUCGACGAUGUUCCUAGGCAGGUCUGUAGAUGAGUGCUCAGACCCCACAGUGGAACUGGGAGACCGGGCCAGAGCUACCUACGGAUACGGGCCUGCAGUUAAAGGGAAUCAUUGCACAUGGUUGUAGCGCAAGCCUGAUAGCAGCCAUGCGCUGCGUGUGAUUAAAACAUCUGCCUUCUGGGAUGUAAAGUGUCUUCAGCAGUGUGGAGAAGUGGUGUCGUUAGUAGCGUCAUCCCUUGACUUAAGCUGCAUAAGACAGCACCGGCUAAUGCCGUGCCAGCGCUGCGGUAUGACCGGGAUGGUGGUGAGCGAGCGUGUAAUCGGAAUUACUGGGCGUAAAUCGUGAUGCAACGUGGUUUUGUUGAAGUCAGAUGUGAAGCCCGGGGCCAACUCGGAACUGUCAGUUGAAACUGCAACUAGAGUACUUUCGGAGGGGUAGCAUUAUACAGUUUAAUCGUGAAACUGCGUAGAGGACUGAAGAAUCCAGUGUUACCGAAGGGCCGGCCCCUGGACAUACUGCCGCCUCAGAGAGUAGUAGCGAAAGGCAGGUUGGGGGAGGCAACGGAUGGUAGUGGAUACCGCUGGGUAGUCACACGCGUAACUAUAUUCUACUUGGAUGUUGUGGGCCUUGAGGCGCGAAUGUGCUUCAAAGUGGAGCUAACGGUCGUGGUAACAGUAUCCCGUGCCUGGUUGGGGAUUAGCUGUCGCAAGAUUAACACGAAAUCCAAGUGAUUGACGAUGUGGGCGCCGCACAAGCGUUGGAGCGAUGUUGUGUUUUUAGAUCUAUGAGCAAAUGACGCGAAUGAACCUUACCUACUCUUGGACAUCGCCCAGAAAGAAACUUUCCAGCAGAGUGGCUUGGUUGCCUUCGGGACCACUCUGUAGACAGGUGCUGGCAUGGCUGUCGUGCCCGAGCUCGGCGUGUUGUGAAGUGUUGGUUAAAGUCCC
rnacentral:rRNA from 1 species